CCUACGGGUGGCAGCAGUGAGGAAUAUUGGUCAAUGGGCGGGAGCCUGAACCAGCCAAGUCGCGUGAGGGAAGACGGUCCUAUGGAUUGUAAACCUCUUUAGGCGGGGAGCAAAGCCGGGCACGCGGGCCCGGGGGGAGAGUACCCGCAGAAUACGCAUCGGUAAACUCCGUGCCAGCAGCCGGGGUAAUACGGAGGAUGAGAGCGUUAUCCGGAUUUAUUGGGUUUAAAGGGUGCGUAGGCGGAUGUUAAAGUCAGCGGUAAAUUGUCCGGGCUCAACCCGUGCCUGCCGUUGAAACUGGGGAUCUUGAGUGAGCGAGAAGUAUGCGGAAUGCGUGGUGUAGCGGUGAAAUGCAUAGAUAUCACGCAGAACUCCGAUUGCGAAGGCAGCAUACCGGCGCCCGACUGACGCUGAGGCACGAAAGCGUGGGGAUCGAACAGGAUUAGAUACCCCUGUAGUC
rnacentral:rRNA from 1 species